rnacentral:tRNA from 1 species
AAUUUAUUAGUUUAAAAAAAACAUUAUAUUUUCAAUGUAAAAAUAAAUUCUUAUUUAUAAAUUA